rnacentral:tRNA from 1 species
GCCUUCGUGGUGUAGUGGUCAGCGCGUUGGGUGCGUAUUUCAGAGGUUCGUGGUUCGAGUCCCGACGAAGGCG